rnacentral:tRNA from 1 species
AUUCUGCUAGUAUAAAUAAUACCUGUGGCUUCCUACCACUAGAUCUUAAUACGACAUUAAGGAAGAACA